UACGAAGGGGGCUAGCGUUGUUCGGAAUCACUGGGCGUAAAGGGCGCGUAGGCGGCCGAUCAAGUCGGGGGUGAAAGCCUGUGGCUCAACCACAGAAUUGCCUUCGAUACUGUUUGGCUUGAGACCGGAAGAGGUUAGUGGAACUGCGAGUGUAGAGGUGAAAUUCGUAGAUAUUGGGUGGAACACCGGUGGCGAAAGCGGCUCUCUGGCCCGGAUCUGACGCUGAGGCGCGAAAGCGUGGGGAGCAAACAGG
rnacentral:rRNA from 1 species